AGCUCAGCUCUGUCUAGAGUGAAAUGUGGGGCCCAGGAGGAAAUGGAAAUGGAUCUGCUAAGCAACACUUGGAGAAACAGAUGACUCUGCUGAGACCCCACCUGGAAGGCUGUGCUCAGCUCUGAGUACCUAAUUACCAGCCAGGAAUCUGGGAUUGAGAAUCAGAAUGAAUCAGCCUCAGCCAAUCACAGCGCCAUGGAAGACAAGUCCACGUGGAGCUCUGGGAAUGAGUUUCCUGCAUGACAGGAAGACGUGGAGAAAGCAAGCUGAGAAACCCACGUGGAAAGAGACACAGAUCCAGAAAUGGAGAGACAGAGCGAGAGGCACACACCUAGAUGGAGACUCAGAGAGAGGCAGACAUUCUCCUGCCUGCCUUGGGAUUUUUCCUUAUGAGGUCUCAGGAUGCUCACACAAAUCCCCUUUUAGCCUGGGCUAGGCUGAGGGCAUUUCCAUUACCUGAAAUGGAAAUCCGUCAUUGGCCUGGUUGGAGACAGAGACAGACAAUGGGAAGAAAGGCACUCUAGCAAUUAAGCAAAGAAUAUACACCUUGAAUCAAUGCUUGGAACUGACCCAGUGGCAAAUUUCAGGAGCUGGGCCAUGAAUCUUCCCCAUGACUUCAUUUGCCUGUUACCUGUAUUUGGCUUUGGAAGGCACUUCCCUGGUCUAAGGUCUCUUGAACCAUCUUCAUGUUGGAUUGUGGCUGUGGGUCAGAGCAAGGCCAAGGCUCUGACUGGCUCAGACACCUGUCAUUUAACAGCAGAGUUAAAUAUAAGCCCUGGAACAUGCUUUCUGUCUUUGCAGCUGCAGCACAUGCAGAAACUGUCCAGGGCAAUGAUGAAUUUCAAGUUUCUUCCUUUGAAGGACAGGGCCCGGCUAAUGUGACACAUCCUUCCUGAAAAUGAUGUGUUUCUAGGUUUCUGGCUUAAGGGUAUGUGAUUUCUGAAGGGUAAACAUGGCCUUAAAAGGGGAAAAUUUGUUCUGCUUAACUAUGCAGAGAAUUCCCAGUAGUUUCUUUAAUUUGGUUUUCUGAAUAGGGCACAUUUGCAUUCACUGACUUGUGGCUUUUUAGACUAGCAAAUGCAUCUCUCUCUUCUCUGUGUUUUAUUAAAUGAUUAGGUGGUCUCCAAGCUACACUAACAUUAGCCAGUACCCUUGAGAUUUGGAGGCAAGUCCAUCUAGCCAGUUUGUUUCUUUUUCUUUAUAUUUUCCCUCCCACAUCUUUUUUCAUUUUAAAUCCUUUCUGUCAAGUAAGGACUGGGGCUCACAAAUGUGUGUGUGCACAUGUGUGUGCAUACAACAUGCAAUGCAACAGGGUGGGAAUAGGAGAGGAGAAAGGAAAAGUAUAUUAAAUCUUGCUUAGGAUAAAAAGAUUGCCUUGGUCUCCAGCUCAAAUUAGGAAAAGGGAAGGCGGUGGAUGUUUUUGUUAUUUUACAACUUAAUUUUUUAUUCUUAGCACAUCACAUAAUACCCGGUGUUAGUGACACAUGUGACCAAAUGGCUGCUCCCCCAUCAAUGAGGACAGGCAGUUCUGAGCAGGGAGUCUGUCAUUGCCAUGGUCACGUGGCCCAUGGACCCCCCCGCCCCUGGAUGAGUGAGGCUGAGACGGGUGCUGCUGGGGAAUUCCCAUUCAGACUGCUCAAGCGAGUGAACACAGGACAGGGAAAUUCUCCAUACUCCAGCAGCAAGCCAGGAUAUUUAGGUUCACCUAAAACACCCUCUGUGUUUGGACAUUUUGUUUGUUUCAAUAAUUUCCAACUAUAAAUACGGCAGGCCAGGAAUCGUUGGUUGGGAAUGAAUUGUAAGUAAAGGGUUGAAGCUGCCUCCAAAGAACUCUGAAAUUUGACAGAAUUUCCUAAAAAUGCAAUAAAGGUUACAAAAUAACCCCACAAUGGGCUAAAAUUGUGAAUGAGCAAGACAAUAAUUUUCAAUCAAAUGACAUUUGCAUCCACAUUGUCCUUUUGAUCCAUUUAGGUCAUUUUCUUAGAGGUAGAAAUCCUGGCUUUGAGACACAAUUUUCCCACCCAGCUUGGGCAAGUUGCAACAUUUCUAAGCCUCCUUUUUCUGAAAUAUCUACUUCACCUGGUUGGUAGAAGCAUUUGAUGAUACAAUACAUAUGAAAGUGUUUCACAAACUGUGAACCAUGAAGAUAUUAUUAUUUCUCCUCCAAGCUACUAGGAACUAUUUUCAGCAAUGGCUCACGCCUGUAAUCCCUACAGUUUAGGAGGCUGAGGUGGGCAGAUCACCUGAGGUCAGGAGUUUGAGACCAGCCUGGCCAACAUGGUGAAACCCCAUCUUUACUAAAAAAAUACAAAAUUAGCCAGGCUAAUUUUCUAGUGGUGGCAGAGGUUAGGAGGAAGGCAGCCAUGAGCAAGGAUGCUGGGUGAGCCAGGGUGGGGUAUGUGCUGCAAGAAAAAAAAGGCUCACUCAGAAGGACAGCACAACAGAGUGGUGGUGCGUGCCUGUAAUCCCAGCUACUCGGGAGGCUGAGGCAGGAGAAUUGCUUGAACCUGGGAGGUGGAGGUUGCAGUGAGCUGAGAUCAUGCCACUGCACUCCAGCCUAGAUGACAGAGCGAGACUCUGUCUCAAAAAACAAAAACAAAAAACAAUGAACAAUAGAUAAUGGUCUAAAUAGCAGCAAUAAGGUUUGCUAAGCAAAUUAUGCUACAUCCAUAGGAUAGAAUUAUCUGCAGGCAUUAAAAAAGACAGCAACGUUUAUCUAUUGACAUGGACAGUUCAUCCAAGU
rnacentral:lncRNA from 10 species